UAGCCGGGCGUGGUGGUGGGCACCUGUGGUCCCAGCUACUCGGGAGGCUGAG
ensembl:miRNA